GGUAAAGUUGGAAAGCUAGAGCUGCUUGUGCAUUUGCAGCCUGUAAAGUAGAGUGCACGACUACACAGUAAGAAAAGAGCCAGCUUUAAGUUGCAGGGAUUUUGAUGUAUACAUUUGGACGAUCAACCACUUUGUGCAACCAUUUUGCAGCAUCAACAGUUCCUUGGGUAUCAUCAGCAAGCAGGGGUGAAACCUCAACAGAGACAUAACCAUCACCACCAUCUGUUUCAUCGUAAAUUGGCUCAAAUAGUCUGCAAGCAUCUUGAAUAUCUUUCACGACAAGUUCCCAAUAUGCGCUUACAAUGUCUUUUCCUCCCUGUACAAGUUCCCUGCAGUUAAAGUAUCGGUCAUUAAAUAGCUCGGUGCUAACAGGCAGAGGCAUAAACUAACAAAGUACUGUACUUGCUCCACACAUGUAUGUAAGUAUGUUUCGAAGCUUUGAGAACGUUUAAAUUCACAUAUUAGCUAGGCGAUGUCAUCUGACUUUCAGAUUACUAUAUGAAUUGGGGAGGCUUAUGGAUGUGUAAUUGGAAAGUGACUAUGUGGUGCUGAACAACGAGAUUCAUAUUAUUGAUUUUAUAAUGCUAUAAUAAAAUGGGCUGCUGGAUGUAGUAUUUGGAUU